GUAUGAGCUGUAGCACGAGUACGCCACGCAUGCGCGUUUUUCCUUUUGGAGACGCACUUUAAGAAAGCCAAAUUCUCAACGUGCGACAUUUACUGUUAGGGAUCUCGAGUGUCUCCACAUCUUUUCUACAUCAUGGUGACCAAAACUGAAUGCAGUAUUCCAAGUGUGGCCUUAUCAAGACAUCUCGGUUCCUCAGAGCUGGCUGAUACUUCUUCUUCAAGGGGGUAUUACCAAAGAAAAUGUAUUAUUGGUCCAAAUGAUAUGGGAAAAAAUAUAGAUAAAUUAAGAUGAUGAGAAAGCUGCAUUCAGAUGCUGGGGAUUGGAAACAGAAAUGAAAUAUUAGAACACAAUGCUAGGUGUUCUUUGCAGCCUGCGUUAUCCUGUAAACUUGCUUUCUGCCCUCCUGUUAUUCCAUUACUAUGUUAAAAAAAUUGAACUGCAAGUUUAAUCUAUUUCAUAACAAAUCUUGAGUUAACCUUGCCUGUUCCCAGUGAGUUUUUUAUCUGUUUAAGAGACAGCCUUGGAAAAUUUGAAAAGUCUAAUUAUGUUUGCAUCAAACGUUCCUUCCUUCCUUCCUUCCUUCCCUCCCUCCCUCCCUCCCUCCCUCCCUCCCUCCCUUCCCUGUUAUGUUUGCAGCAACUCACAUCUUAUACUAAGAGCCUUUCUCAUCACUUUUCUAAAUAAACAGUAUGCGGACAGACAGCAAAGAGUGCAGUAUGUCAGCAGAAUGCCUCUAGUCUGCCUCCUUACAGUUUUUUCAAUCCUGGUCUAUAUUUUCUGCAUUCCUGGAACAUCAAUGCUAGCUUUCAGCAAUCUGACUCUAUAGAUACAGAAGGCAGGAGGGCCUUAUAUUUUUUCAUAUUUGUAUUUAAUGAUGAAUGUAGACUUUUGCUGAUUAUUAAAAUUGAUGGUGCAAGUUCUGUUUAA